UUUCUUUCUUUCUGCCUGCCUGUCUGUCUGUCUCUCUUCCUUUGGUUUUCAUCUUCCUAACUGGCAAAGAUGAAAAGGGUCAGAACUUCUCUGAUGAGAGAGAUACACACCAAGGAUUCGAGGUCACAACCACAGUGAACAUGUAACUUCAACUUAGACAGCACUUCUUAAAACCUUUUUUACUGAUGCACCAAAAUCCUAAUCAUCGCCUAGUCACUCCAUAUCCUCCUUCCACCCUUCCAAAAAUAAACCUAAUUAAUUAAUCAAUUACAUUUUAAAAAGAAAUCUCACUAUGGAAGCUGUAAUAUGUCACAAUGUGUCACACAGUAUAUACCCUUUUGUCCAUACAUCUUUACUUGCAAAUGUUCAUUGCAAUGAGUCAUUGGUGUGGUUCGAGACCUUUGGCUUCUUCUACACUCAGUACUGUGUCCUCACUGGGACUCUUCUCUGAUAUCCCGUUGUUGCCCUGUUUCAUGGAGAUUCUGUAGCUUUGGUUCUAUAGAACCGCAUGCUCUAGCACCUCACAGAUGGGGUAGAUGUUGGGGUGGAAUAACUAAAAGCACUGGAUCUGGGCAGGGUGGUAGCUGAGUUGGUCAGCCUGCCAACUCUUCUGUGCCUAAGCUACCAGAGCAGUGCCCAGGAGAGGGAUGAGGCCUGCUCUCAUGCCCUCAGAGCUGGCUCUCCCAAGCUGCCCGGGUGAAGGACAAGGCCCACCUGGACGUCUCCAUGACCUCAGGUGGCAGCAGAGGUUACCCAUGCCAGGCUGUUCCUUACUGUCAUUGCAUCUCCAGUUCUGCCUCUCUGUGCACAAACAUCUCUGCUUCUCUUCUCUCUCUACCACAUACUUGUUCAUUGUAAUACUCUGGCUCCUUGGACAGCACUUUUAACAGCUAACUGACAUCCAAAAUGGUCCAUCCAUUUUUCACUCGGUUCAAAGAGAUGAACUGCAAUAGAAAGUGAUGGGAACCAUUAUCCAUGCAUUUAAAAAUUGUGUGUGUGUUUAUUUCACUACAUUUACUAAUGUAUUUAAGCAUAUGUUAUAUAUCACAUACUAUAUACCAUAUAUCAUAUAUCACAAUAAUACAUCAUGUAUUGUAAAUAAUAUACCACAUAUUAAUAUGAUAUUAACAUAUAUAAUAUGUUAAUAUUAUAUAUGCAUAUAUAAUUUUGGGAUGCUGGGGAUGAAUCCCCAUGCUUUCUACAUCUUGGUUGUCUGUAAGUCUUCACAAGUGAUUGCAGCCAUUGAAAUUCCUCCUGAGAUCUUUUGAUUUUAGGAUGAGAGGGUCUUCCCCUUAAUAUGAGAUACCUGCCAAGAGUAGCUAUCCCAAUUACACCUGCAGACCUAGGAAAGAGGAUCCAAGUGUAUGACACAAGUCAGUAUGAUCUGGGAACUCAGCCUCUCGGCUGAAGAACAGAAUGUCUUUGUACAGUAUCAACCUAGUCUUAUACCCAGUGGUCAUGGAAAGGACUACGUCCCUCCACCCGGUGCAUGUUACACUGGUAAAUGUCUCUCUGUGGCAUGAGCAGGGGACCACCAAUAGAACACACUGUGGUAAUGGCACAAUAACUUAGAGCAACAAUAUUUGUUCUGUCUUCAAUGAUUGGUGCUUGAGUCUUUUAUUAGUCAAGGUACUCUAGAGAAGCUUAAUUUAUAGAAUGAAUAUAUGUGUGUAUACUGGAUAUAUAAUUAAUUAUAUGACUAGAUAAUAAUAUAUAAUGAAUAUAUGUGAUCUAUUAGAGUGGCUUAUAGGCUGUGGUCCAACUAUUCUAACAAUUGUAGUCUCCUGACAGAAAGUCCAGGAAAUCCAGCCAUGAGGCUGGAUGACUCAGCUGGUCUUCAGUGUAUGUCAGAAUCCUGGAGAAGUAGGCUCUGAUGCCAAUGAAGAAAUGGACUUGCUAGUGAGAAUGAGGGCAUGCGGGCAUGCAGGCAGAGAACAAGCUUUCUUCUUCCCUGUCACCGGGUGACACCAGAAGACUAACGUUAAAUGGAGGCUGGAGAGGAAGAUGGCUCAGCAGAUGAGAGCACUUACUACUUUUGCAGAGGACCUGGAUUUGGUUCCAUGGGACCUGAUGUUCCCCGCUGGCCUCUGUAGGCACCCGUAUGAAUGUUGUGCAAAGAACUCCACACACAUACCCCUAACAAUAAAAAGCAAACUUAAAAA
rnacentral:sRNA from 1 species